UGCCAGUGAAUAGUUUAACGGCCGCGGUACCCUAACCGUGCAAAGGUAGCGUAAUAACUUGUCUAUUAAUUGUAGACCCGCAUGAAUGGCAUAAUGAGGGUUUAUCUGUCUCUUUUAGUAAAUCAAUUAAACUGAUCUCCUAGUCCAAAAGCUAGGAUACAAACAUAAGACCAGAAGACCCUGUGAAGCUUUAACUAAACUAUCAAACCCAGUGAUAGCUCCUUUAGGUUGGGGCGACCUUGGAAAAAAAAAGAACUUCCAAACAUANUAAUCUAAAAUUAUCCACCAGGCCAACAAGCCCACAACGACCCAGCAUAGCUGACAAUUGAACCAAGUUACUCCAGGGAUAACAGCGCUAUCUUCUUCAAGAGCCCAUAUCAAAAAGAAGGUUUACGACCUCGAUGUUGGAUCAGGACAUCCUAAUGGUGCAGCCGCUAUUAAGGGUUCGUUUGUUCAACGAUCAAUAGUCCUACGUGA
rnacentral:rRNA from 1 species